UGGGUAACACUAACUGGAGGACCGAACCCACUGUCGUUGAAAAGCCAGGGGAUGACUUGUGGAUAGGGGUGAAAGGCUAAUCAAGCCUGGUGAUAGCUGGUUCUCCCCGAAAGCUAUUUAGGUAGCGCCUCGGACGAAUACCAUAGGGGGUAGAGCACUGUUUCGGCUAGGGGGUCAUCCCGACUUACCAAACCGAUGCAAACUCCGAAUACCUAUGAGUACUAUCCGGGAGACAGACUGCGGGUGCUAACGUCCGUAGUCAAGAGGAAAACAAUCCAGACCGCCAGCUAAGGCCCCAAAAUCAUAGUUAAGUGGGAAACGAUGUGGGAAGGCAUAGACAGCUAGGAGGUUGGCUUAGAAGCAGCCACCCUUUAAAGAAAGCGUAAUAGCUCACUAGUCGAGUCGGCCUGCGCGGAAGAUGUAACGGGGCUAAAACUAUGUGCCGAAGCUGCGGAUUACUUGUACGUGGUAGGGGAGCGUUCUGUAAGCCGAUGAAGGUGUAUUGAGAAGUAUGCUGGAGGUAUCAGAAGUGCGAAUGCUGACGUGAGUAACGACAAAACGGGUGAAAAACCCGUUCGCCGAAAGACCAAGGGUUCCAGUCCAACGUUAAUCGGGGCUGGGUGAGUCGACCCCUAAGGCGAGGCCGAAAGGCGUAGUCGAUGGGAAAAUGGUUAAUAUUCCAUUACUUCUGUGUAAUGCGAUGAGAGGACGGAGAAGGCUAAAUCAGCCUGGCGUUGGUUGUCCAGGUGAAAGGAUGUAGGCAUGUAUCUUAGGCAAAUCCGGGGUACUCUAUGCUGAGAUCUGAUAGCAAGCUGUACUUGUACAGCGAAGUGGUUGAUGCCAUGCUUCCAGGAAAAGUCUCUAAGCUUCAGUUACACAGGAAUCGUACCCGAAACCGACACAGGUGGUCAGGUCGAGUAGACCAAGGCGCUUGAGAGAACUCUGCUGAAGGAACUAGGCAAAAUGGUACCGUAACUUCGGGAGAAGGUACGCUGUUGUUGGUGAUGGAACUCGCUUCCUGAGCUGACGACAGCCGCAGAAACCAGGCCGCUGCAACUGUUUAUUAAAAACAUAGCACUCUGCAAACACGAAAGUGGACGUAUAGGGUGUGAUGCCUGCCCGGUGCUGGAAGGUUAAUUGAUGGGGUUAGCGUAAGCGAAGCUCUUGAUCGAAGCCCCAGUAAACGGCGGCCGUAACUAUAACGGUCCUAAGGUAGCGAAAUUCCUUGUCGGGUAAGUUCCGACCUGCACGAAUGGCAUAAUGAUGGCGGCGCUGUCUCCAGCAGAGGCUCAGUGAAAUCGAAAUCGCUGUGAAGAUGCAGUGUACCCGCGGCUAGACGGAAAGACCCCGUGAACCUUUACUGCAGCUUGACACUGAACUUUGACCUUACUUGUGUAGGAUAGGUGGGAGGCUUUGAAGCUGGAACGCUAGUUCCAGUGGAGCCGUCCUUGAAAUACCACCCUGGUAAUGUUGAGGUUCUAACUCUGUCCCGUGAUCCGGGACGAGGACCGUGUCUGGUGGGUAGUUUGACUGGGGCGGUCUCCUCCUAAAGAGUAACGGAGGAGUACGAAGGUGCGCUCAGCGUGGUCGGAAAUCACGCGUAGAGUAUAAAGGCAAAAGCGCGCUUAACUGCGAGACCCACAAGUCGAGCAGGUACGAAAGUAGGUCUUAGUGAUCCGGUGGUUCUGUAUGGAAGGGCCAUCGCUCAACGGAUAAAAGGUACUCUGGGGAUAACAGGCUGAUACCGCCCAAGAGUUCAUAUCGACGGCGGUGUUUGGCACCUCGAUGUCGGCUCAUCUCAUCCUGGGGCUGAAGCAGGUCCCAAGGGUAUGGCUGUUCGCCAUUUAAAGAGGUACGCGAGCUGGGUUUAGAACGUCGUGAGACAGUUCGGUCCCUAUCUACCGUGGGCGCUGGAAAUUUGAGAGGAUCUGCUCCUAGUACGAGAGGACCAGAGUGGACGAACCUCUGGUGUACCGGUUGUGACGCCAGUCGCAUCGCCGGGUAGCUAUGUUCGGAAGGGAUAACCGCUGAAAGCAUCUAAGCGGGAAGCCUACCUCAAGAUAAGAUUUCCCUAGGACUUUAUGUCCUCUAAAGAGCCGUUCGAGACUAGGACGUUGAUAGGUUGGAUGUGGAAGCAUAGUGAUAUGUGAAGCUGACCAAUACUAAUUGCUCGUGAGGCUUGACUAUACAACACCCAAGCAGUUG
rnacentral:rRNA from 1 species